AAGACUAUACUUUUAGGAAUCAUUUCUGUAGUUUUUGACUAGGAAAUGUGUUUUGAAAAUGAUUUGUUUCUCAAACUGCGAUGAUAAGUCUUGAUACUCUUUUCUGAGCAUGAAUCAGAUGUAGAAUAAUGAUUUAUUUUAUAAGCUGUACAUCAUUGAUGAAUGUUUUGUGUUGUUGUUUUGAAAUACAGAGGAAAAGAGUAUGAUCAGAGUGGU